rnacentral:tRNA from 1 species
CAGCCACUGAAUUGAUCAAACACCGCCCUUCUAAGGCGUAGGUCGCACGUUCGAAUCGUGCUGGGCAGGCCA